rnacentral:rRNA from 1 species
AUGAACGCUAGCUACAGGCUUAACACAUGCAAGUCGAGGGGCAGCAUGGUCUUAGCUUGCUAAGGCCGAUGGCGACCGGCGCACGGGUGAGUAACGCGUAUCCAACCUGCCUUACACUCUUGGACAGCCUUCUGAAAGGGAGAUUAAUACAAGAUGUUAUCAUGAGUAAGCAUUUUCGCAUGAUUAAAGGUUUACCGGUGUAAGAUGGGGAUGCGUUCCAUUAGAUAGUAGGCGGGGUAACGGCCCACCUAGUCUUCGAUGGAUAGGGGUUCUGAGAGGAAGGUCCCCCACAUUGGAACUGAGACACGGUCCAAACUCCUACGGGAGGCAGCAGUGAGGAAUAUUGGUCAAUGGACGAGAGUCUGAACCAGCCAAGUAGCGUGAAGGAUGAAGGUUCUAUGGAUUGUAAACUUCUUUUAUACGGGAAUAAACGGAUCCACGUGUGGAUUUUUGCAUGUACCGUAUGAAUAAGGAUCGGCUAACUCCGUGCCAGCAGCCGCGGUAAUACGGAGGAUCCGAGCGUUAUCCGGAUUUAUUGGGUUUAAAGGGAGCGUAGAUGGGUUGUUAAGUCAGUUGUGAAAGUUUGCGGCUCAACCGUAAAAUUGCAAUUGAUACUGGCAGUCUUGAGUACAGUUGAGGUAGGCGGAAUUCGUGGUGUAGCGGUGAAAUGCUUAGAUAUCACGAAGAACUCCGAUUGCGAAGGCAGCUUACUAACCUGUAACUGACAUUGAUGCUCGAAAGUGUGGGUAUCAAACAGGAUUAGAUACCCUGGUAGUCCACACGGUAAACGAUGAAUACUCGCUGUAGGCGAUAUACGGUCUGCGGCCAAGCGAAAGCAUUAAGUAUUCCACCUGGGGAGUACGCCGGCAACGGUGAAACUCAAAGGAAUUGACGGGGGCCCGCACAAGCGGUGGAGCAUGUGGUUUAAUUCGAAGCAACGCGAAGAACCUUACCAAAUCUUGACAUCCUCUGACCCCUCUAGAGAUAGAGUUUUCCCCUUCGGGGGACAGAGUGACAGGUGGUGCAUGGUUGUCGUCAGCUCGUGUCGUGAGAUGUUGGGUUAAGUCCCGCAACGAGCGCAACCCUUGCUAUUAGUUGCUACGCAAGAGCACUCUAAUAGGACUGCCGUUGACAAAACGGAGGAAGGUGGGGAUGACGUCAAAUCAUCAUGCCCCUUAUGACUUGGGCUACACACGUACUACAAUGGAUGUUACAAAGGGAAGCGAAGUAGUGAUAUGGAGCGAAACCCAAAAAGCAUCCCCAGUUCGGAUUGUAGGCUGAAAUUCGCCUUCAUGAAGCCGGAAUUGCUAGUAAUGGCAGGUCAGCAUACUGCCGUGAAUACGUUCCCGGGCCUUGUACACACCGCCCGUCAAGCCAUGGGAGCCGGGGGUACCUGAAGUGCGUAACCGCAAGGAGCGCCCUAGGGUAAAACUGGUGACUGGGGCU